rnacentral:rRNA from 1 species
GUCCACGCCGUAAACGAUGCGCGCUAGAUCGGGGCGGCUCUGACGCCGGCUCGGUCGAAGUAAACGCUAAGCGCGCCGCCUGGGGAGUACGGUCGCAAGGCUAAAACUCAAAGGAAUUGACGGGGCUCACACAAGCGGUGGAGCAUGUUGCUUAAUUCGAGGCAACGCGAAGAACCUUACCUGGGUUUGACAUGGCUGGAUUAACUCCUGGAAACAGGAGCCACGCCCGCAAGGGUGGAACAGUCACAGGUGCUGCAUGGCUGUCGU